rnacentral:rRNA from 1 species
GACGAACGCUGGCGGCGUGCUUAACACAUGCAAGUCGAACGAGUGGCGAACGGGUGAGUAAUACGUGGGUAACCUGCCCUAUUUAUGGGAUAAGCCUUGGAAACGGGGUCUAAUACCCAAUCACGGGGGGUGGGCUCGCGGCCUAUCAGCUUGUUGGGGGGGUGAUGGCCUACCAAGGCGGUCACGAGUUGGCGGCCUGUGAGGGUGACCGGACACGAUGGAAGUGAAAUACUGCCCAGAGUGCUACGGGAGGCAGCAGUGGGAGAUAUUGCACAAUGCGGGAAAGCCUGAUGCAGCGACGCCGCGUAGGGGAUGGGGGCGUUCGGGUUGUAAACCUGUUUCGCUAUCGAACCGGUACGUGGAGAAGAAGCGCCGGCUAACUACGUGCCAGCAGCCGCGGUAAUAC